AUUGAACGCUGGCGGCAUGCCUUACACAUGCAAGUCGAACGGCAGCACGGGAGCAAUCCUGGUGGCGAGUGGCGAACGGGUGAGUAAUAUAUCGGAACGUGCCCAGUCGUGGGGGAUAACGUAGCGAAAGCUACGCUAAUACCGCAUACGAUCUAUGGAUGAAAGCGGGGGAUCGCAAGACCUCGCGCGAUUGGAGCGGCCGAUAUCAGAUUAGCUAGUUGGUGGGGUAAAGGCCCACCAAGGCGACGAUCUGUAGCUGGUCUGAGAGGACGACCAGCCACACUGGGACUGAGACACGGCCCAGACUCCUACGGGAGGCAGCAGUGGGGAAUUUUGGACAAUGGGCGCAAGCCUGAUCCAGCAAUGCCGCGUGCAGGACGAAGGCCUUCGGUUGUAACUGCUUUGUACGGUACAAAACGGUACCUCUAUACAGGGGCGUAAUGACGGUACCGUAAGAA
rnacentral:rRNA from 1 species